rnacentral:ribozyme from 11 species
UCUUUCUUUCUUUUCCCUUUUCUUUUUCUUUCUUUCUUUCUUUCUUUUUUUUUUUAUAU